GAUGAACGCUGGCGGCGUGCCUAAUACAUGCAAGUCGAGCGAACAGACGAGGAGCUUGCUCCUCUGCCGUUAGCGGCGGACGGGUGAGUAACACGUGGAUAACCUACUUAUAUGACUGGGGUAACAACGGGAAACCGGAGCUAAUACCGGAUAAUAUAUUGAACCGCAUGGUUCAAUAGUGAAAGACGGUUUUGCCGUCACUUAUAGAUGGAUCCGCGCCGCAUUAGCUAGUUGGUAAGGUAACGGCUUACCAAGGCGACGAUGCGUAGCCGACCUGAGAGGGUGAUCGGCCACACUGGAACUGAGACACGGUCCAGACUCCUACGGGAGGCAGCAGUAGGGAAUCUUCCGCAAUGGGCGAAAGCCUGACGGAGCAACGCCGCGUGAGUGAUGAAGGUCUUCGGAUCGUAAAACUCUGUUAUUAGGGAAGAACAAAUGUGUAAGUAACUAUGCACGUCUUGACGGUACCUAAUCAGAAAGCCACGGCUAACUACGUG
rnacentral:rRNA from 1 species